UGGGGAAUCUUGCACAAUGGGCGAAAGCCUGAUCCAGCAAUGCCGCGUGUGUGAAGAAGGUCUUCGGAUUGUAAAGCACUUUCGGCGGGGACGAUGAUGACGGUACCCGCAGAAGAAGCCCCGGCUAACUUCGUGCCAGCAGCCGCGGUAAUACGAAGGGGGCUAGCGUCGCUCGGAAUGACUGGGCGUAAAGGGCGCGUAGGCGGAUGGCACAGUCAGAUGUGAAAUUCCCGGGCUUAACCUGGGGGCUGCAUUUGAUACGUGUUGUCUGGAGUGAGGAAGAGGGUCGUGGAAUUCCCAGUGUAGAGGUGAAAUUCGUAGAUAUUGGGAAGAACACCGGUGGCGAAGGCGGCGACCUGGUCCUUUACUGACGCUGAGGCGCGAAAGCGUGGGGAGCAAACAGGAUUAGAUACCCUGGUAGUCCACGCUGUAAACGAUGUGUGCUGGAUGUUGGGCGACCUAGUCGCUCAGUGUCGUAGCUAACGCGAUAAGCACACCGCCUGGGGAGUACGGCCGCAAGGUUG
rnacentral:rRNA from 1 species